GACGAACGUUGGCGGCGUGCUUAAUACAUGCAAGUCAACUGAAGCAGUGGUAGCAAUAUCGCUGUGGAGGUGGCGCACGGGUGAGUAACACGUAGGUAAUCUGCCUUCAGGUCUGGCAUAACUCCGGGAAACCGGGGCUAAUAGCAGAUGAUGCAGCGGCUCGACAUCGAGACAGUUGUUAAAGCUAUGGCGCCUGAAGAUGAGCCUGCGUCUGAUUAGCUAGUUGGCGGGGUAACGGCCCACCAAGGCAACGAUCAGUAGCUGGUCUGAGAGGAUGAUCAGCCACACUGGAACUGAGACACGGUCCAGACUCCUACGGGAGGCAGCAGUAAGGGAUAUUGCUCAAUGGGAGAAAUCCUGAAGCAGCAACGCCGCGUGAGGGACGAAGGGCUUUGGCUUGUAAACCUCUGUAGUGAGAGAAAAAAAUCCCAAUCUUUGGGACAUGAUGGUAUCUCAAAAGUAAGCCCCGGCUAACUACGUG
rnacentral:rRNA from 1 species